AAAUACGAAUACGGGACUCACUCGAGGCUCCGUAAUUCGAAUGAGUACAAUCUAAAUCCUUUAACGAGGACCAAUUGGAGGGCAAGUCUGGUGCCAGCAGCCGCGGUAACUCCAGCUCCAAAAGCGUAUAUUAAAGUUGCUGCAGUUAAAAAGCUCGUAGUUGGAUCUGGGUCGUGCGUUCACAUGUCGUUGCUUGGUUCUGAUUUCGAUUAGUUCCAGGCGAUGAUGAGGUGGUCGCGCAGCCUUUCAGCCGUGUCUGCGUGAGCAGGUGUUGGCUGGUCGGUGGGUUUACUCGCUGACUAGUCGGCAUGUUUCCUGAUGCCUUUAAACGGGUGUCGGGGGCGUACGGCACUUUUACUUUGAACAAAUUUGAGUGCUCAAAGCAGGCCCAUGUGCCUGAAAAGUCUUGCAUGGAAUAAUGGAAUAGGACUUCGGUUCUAUUUUGUUGGUUUCCGGAUCCGAAGUAAUGGUUAAGAGGAACAGACGGGGGCAUUUGUAUGGCGGCGUGAGAGGUGAAAUUCUAUGAUCGUUGCCAGACAAACUACAGCGAAAGCAUUUGCCAAGAAUGUUUUCAUUGAUCAGGAGCGAAAGUCAGAGUUUCGAAGACGAUCAGAUACCGUCCUAGUUCUGACCAUAAACGAUGCCAACUGACGAUCCGCGGCGGUCCUUUAAUUGGCCCCGCGGGCAGUCCCCGGGAAACCCUUAAGUCUUUGGGCUCCGGGGGAAGUAUGGUUGCAAAGCUGAAACUUAAAGGAAUUGACGGAAGGGCACCACCAGGAGUGGAGCCUGCGGCUUAAUUCGACUCAACACGGGAAAACUCACCCGGCCCGGACACUGUGAGGAUUGACAGA
rnacentral:rRNA from 1 species